rnacentral:rRNA from 1 species
UGGGGAAUAUUGCACAAUGGGCGCAAGCCUGAUGCAGCCAUGCCGCGUGUUUGAAGAAGGCCUUCGGGUUGUAAAGCACUUUCAGCGGGGAGGAAGGCGUUAAGGUUAAUAACCUUGGCGAUUGACGUUACCCGCAGAAGAAGCACCGGCUAACUCCGUGCCAGCAGCCGCGGUAAUACGGAGGGUGCAAGCGUUAAUCGGAAUUACUGGGCGUACAGCGCACGCAGGCGGUUUGUUAAGUCAGAUGUGAAAUCCUCGGGCUCAACCUGGGAACUGCAUCUGAUACUGGCAAGCUUGAGUCUCGUAGAGGGGGGUAGAAUUCCAGGUGUAGCGGUGAAAUGCGUAGAGAUCUGGAGGAAUACCGGUGGCGAAGGCGGCCCCCUGGACAAAGACUGACGAUCAGGUGCGAAAGCGUGGGGAGCAAACAGG